GUUAAGAUGAGGUCACCCCGGAGGAGGGUGGGCUGCUCGCUACAAUAACUAGGGUCCUUGUAAGAACACAGCCAUGUGAAGACAGAGACGCACAGGGAGAAGGUUCUGUGACAACAUAGGCAGAGGUUGGAGAGAUGCAGCCAAAGCCAAGGGCGGUCAGCCAGCACCGGGAGCUGCAGGCGAAGGAGGAAGGGAGGCUUCUGAGGGAGCACAGCCCCGCCGACACGUUGAUCGUGGACUUCUAGCUCCCAAACUGUAAGACAAUACACUUCUGUUGUUUGAAGCCACCCAGUUUAUGGCUCUUUGUUAGGGCAGCCCUCGGAUACUGACAAGGCAGGGAAGAAGGAAAAGCUAAUCACUGGUGAUUACUCGGGUCACCACUAAAGGCCACCAGCGCUCAGUCCUCCCGGGACACCUGAGCAGCCAUGGAGAUGAUGACUCACAUUCAUCUCUCCAAGACCAGGUACCGGGCAUCCACACACUGGCUCCGGCGUCCAGCUGGGUGAAUGUUGUCCCUAGGGGUAGCCCCGGCACAUGACAGGGCUGUCCCUGCGCAUGGACUGAGCUCACGAGCCAUCCAUCAGGCUGCAGGUGACGUCAGAGGUGGAUGAAGGGAUACGGGGUGGAGCAGACACCGGGUUAUGGGUCCUGACCCCAUCAUCCCUCCACAGCACUGCUUUUCUGCAUGAGAGACAGGCCAAGUUCAAGGUGAAAACCGAAAGCCACCCACACAGGCUUACCAUUAAUGCAUGCACUUUGGGACCUCUUAUUUCAGAUAUACGCAUGGAUUAACUUGUCAAAAUUUUAUCAGAGGGAAAAAGAAGGACGAGGAGAAAGAAGAGGAAAGUCAAUGUUGUCAUUGUCAUUUUACAGGCGACACGAGGCUUGGAGAUCCUGCUGUGUGUACGUCCAACCCAUCACCCCUGAGUGCUGCACAACAUCCUGAGGUGUGUUUCUGACCACCUUGCAUCUGGGGCAUCUCCCUCCUCGUGCGUAAAUGCCAGUGCGAGGAGCAUCCUGGGACGCACUCUCUUAGGGACCGGCGCGGACUGUCCUGGCACAGCGAGCAUCUUCUGUGUGCCAGGCGCCCUGGGUGUGCCAUCUCAGGUACAUCCUCCACGGACGCAGAGGUGUCCCUUUUUCACCUGCCAUGGUGGGAAUGAUCGACCCAGGCUGAUGGUUGGGUGAGGACACGGCUGGGAGGGUUUCAAGAUGCUGUUCUGUGUCAGAACUCAGUAAUUCCAGGAAGCCGCCUCGAAGAGGAUGUACAUGGACCGAUGGUAGACCAGGGAUCACCUGAGAGACUGUGUACCAAGAGUAGACCUUUCCCCCGCCAAGUCCCACACCAUCCUUAGCCAGGUGACAAUUAGAAACAUUUCUCUUUAGGGAAAGCUGAGUGACAUUGGGUCCCUGACUAAUGAGCCAGCUCACCCUCCAGUGGAAGCCUCCUGUUGUUGAGAAAAUGGGGGUGCCUGUAAGAGUGACAAGCUAGAAGGGAUGGGAACCCGAGCUGGGGAGGGGGGGCAGCUAGCUUCACAGCCAGAAGGGAGAAGGCACGAUUCUUCCACCUCGACAGCAGGAAUGCAGAGAGGUGCAGGCGGGGGCAGGUAGGGAGCUCACUCUGCUGGCUUGGAAUUUCUCGAUGAAGUCAGAUGUGGCUCCACAGAGCAGAAGGGAGGGAGGGCGGGAGCGAGGGCGGCUCGGGGAGAAGAGGAGAGGAGGUAUGAAGUCGUCUGUGCAGAGAGUGGGAGUAGAGUGGGAGAGAGUGGGGCUGCCGGGAGCACCC
ensembl:lncRNA